AUUGAACGCUGGCGGCAGGCCUAACACAUGCAAGUCGAGCGGAGCGGCGGAAGGGUGAGUAAUGCCUAGGAAUCUACCUGGUAGUGGGGGAUAACGUCCGGAAACGGACGCUAAUACCGCAUACUAUCAGAUGAGCCUAGGUCGGCUUAGCUAGUAGGUGGGGUAACGGCUAACCUGGGCGACGAGCCAUCGCGGGUCUGAGAGGAUGACCAGCCACAUUGGAACUGAGACACGGCCCAGACUCCUACGGGAGGCAGCAGUGGGGAAUAUUGGACAAUGGGCGCAAGCCUGAUGCAGCCAUGCCGCGUGUGUGAAGAAGGCCUUCGGGUUGUAAAGCACUUUCAGCGGGGAGGCGUUACCCGCAGAAGAAGCACCGGCUAACUCCGUGCCAGCAGCCGCGGUAAUUC
rnacentral:rRNA from 1 species